rnacentral:rRNA from 1 species
GUCUACGGCCAUACCACCCUGAAUGCGCCCCAUCUCAUCUGAUCUCGGAAGCUAAGCAGAGUCAGGCCUGGUUAGUACUUGGAUGAGAGACUGCCUGGGAAUACUGGGUGCUGUAAGCU